UGCUUGGGCGAGAGUAGU
rnacentral:snRNA from 1 species